CAAUAGCGUAUAUUAAAGUUGUUGCAGUUAAAAAGCUCGUAGUUGGAUUUCGGGACGGGCCAGUUGGUCCGCCGCAAGGUGUGUUACUGACUGGUCUGUUCUUCUUCGCAAAGACUGCGUGUGCGCUUCGUUGAGUGUGCGUAGGAUUUACGACGUUUACUUUGAAAAAAUUAGAGUGUUCAAAGCAGGCUAUCGCUUGAAUACAUGAGCAUGGAAUAAUGGAAUAGGACUUUGGUCCUAUUUUGUUGGUUUCUAGGACCGAAGUAAUGAUUAAGAGGGACAAUUGGGGGCAUCCGUAUUUCGUUGUCAGAGGUGAAAUUCUUGGAUUUACGAAAGACGAACAACUGCGAAAGCACUUGCCAAGAGUGUUUUCAUUAA
rnacentral:rRNA from 1 species